rnacentral:rRNA from 1 species
GUGAGGAAUAUUGGUCAAUGGGCGGGAGCCUGAACCAGCCAAGUCGCGUGAAGGAAGAAGGAUCUAUGGUUCGUAAACUUCUUUUGCAGGGGAAUAAAGUGCAGGACGUGUCCUGUUUUGUAUGUACCCUGAGAAUAAGGAUCGGCUAACUCCGUGCCAGCAGCCGCGGUAAUACGGAGGAUCCGAGCGUUAUCCGGAUUUAUUGGGUUAAAGGGUGCGUAGGUGGUUUGAUAAGUCAGCGGUGAAAGUUUGCAGCUUAACUGUAAAAAUGCCGUUGAAACUGUCGGUCUUGAGUGUAAAUGAGGUAGGCGGAAUGCGUGGUGUAGCGGUGAAAUGCAUAGAUAUCACGCAGAACUCCGAUUGCGAAGGCAGCUUACUAAGCUACAACUGACACUGAAGCACGAAAGCGUGGGGAUCAAACAGGAUUAGAUACCCGAGUAGUCC